rnacentral:rRNA from 1 species
AACGAACGCUGGCGGCAUGCCUAACACAUGCAAGUCGAACGAACCCUUCGGGGUGAGUGGCGCACGGGUGCGUAACACGUGGGAACCUGCCCUUAGGUUCGGAAUAACAGUUAGAAAUGACUGCUAAUACCGGAUAAUGUCUUCGGACCAAAGAUUUAUCGCCUUUGGAUGGGCCCGCGUAGGAUUAGCUAGUUGGUGGGGUAAAGGCUCACCAAGGCGACGAUCCUUAGCUGGUCUUAGAGGAUGCUCAGCCACACUGGGACUGAGACACGGCCCAGACUCCUACGGGAGGCAGCAGUGGGGAAUAUUGGACAAUGGGCGAAAGCCUGAUCCAGCAAUGCCGCGUGAGUGAUGAAGGCCUUAGGGUUGUAAAGCUCUUUUACCUGGGAUGAUAAUGACAGUACCAGGAGAAUAAGCCCCGGCUAACUCCGUGCCAGCAGCCGCAGUAAGAC